CGGGGAUUGGCGCAGUGGUAGCGCGCACGGUUCGGGACCGUGAGGCCAGCAGUUCGAGCCUGCUAUCCCCGA
rnacentral:tRNA from 1 species